UACGUAGGGUGCAAGCGUUGUCCGGAAUUAUUGGGCGUAAAGAGCUCGUAGGCGGUCUGUCGCGUCUGCUGUGAAAAUCCAGGGCUCAACCCUGGACCUGCAGUGGGUACGGGCAGACUAGAGUGCGGUAGGGGAGAUCGGAAUUCCUGGUGUAGCGGUGAAAUGCGCAGAUAUCGAGGAGGAACACCGGUGGCGAAGGCGGAUCUCUGGGCCGUAACUGACGCUGGAGGAGCGAAAGCAUGGGGAGCGAACAGG
rnacentral:rRNA from 1 species